GGUUUCCCUUUACGAAUUGUAGUUUAAAGAAGUGUUUUCUGUUGGAGUUUCGGUAAAAGUUCUUUGGAAUAGGACAUCAUAGAGGGUGAGAAUCCCGUAUUUGACCGUUACUUUCCAGCUGUGUGAUACACUUUCAAAGAGUCGGAUUGUUUGGGAAUGCAGUCCAAAAUGGGUGGUAAAUUUCAUCUAAAGCUAAAUAUUGGCGAGAGACCGAUAGCGAACAAGUACCGUGAGGGAAAGAUGAAAAGAACUUUGAAAAGAGAGUUAAACAGUACGUGAAAUUGUCAAAAGGGAAGCGUUUGACACCAGUGUUGUUUAGUUGAAAAUCAAUUCAAUAGUUUUUGAUUUUAAGUAGUAUUGACUUCAUCAGCUUGCUGCUUUUUUCUCUGAAAUUAUUG
rnacentral:rRNA from 1 species